rnacentral:sRNA from 1 species
ACCCGCUGAACUUAAGCAUAUCAAUAAGCGGAGGAAAAGAAACCAACAGGGAUUGCCUUAGUAACGGCGAGUGAAGCGGCAACAGCUCAAAUUUGAAAUCUGGUCCCCUUUGGGGGCCCGAGUUGUAAUUUGAAGAGGAUGCUUUUGGCGAGGCGCCGUCCGAGUUCCCUGGAACGGGACGCCGCAGAGGGUGAGAGCCCCGUACGGUCGGACGCCGAGCCUCUGUAAAGCUCCUUCGACGAGUCGAGUAGUUUGGGAAUGCUGCUCAAAAUGGGAGGUAAACCCCUUCUAAAGCUAAAUACUGGCCAGAGACCGAUAGCGCACAAGUAGAGUGAUCGAAAGAUGAAAAGCACUUUGAAAAGAGAGUUAAAAAGCACGUGAAAUUGUUAAAAGGGAAGCGCUUGCGACCAGACUUGCGCCCGUCGGAUCAACCGUCGCUUGCGGCGGCGCACUCCGGCGGGCUCAGGCCAGCAUCAGUUCGUCCGGGGGGAGAAAGGCGGCGGGAAUGUGGCUCUUCGGAGUGUUAUAGCCCGCCGUGUAAUACCCUCGGGUGGACUGAGGACCGCGCGUAUGCAAGGAUGCUGGCGUAAUGGUCGUCAGCGACCCGUCUUGAAACACGGACCAAGGAGUCGUCCUAAUAUGCGAGUGUACGGGUGUCAAACCCCUGCGCGUAAUGAAAGUGAACGGAGGUGAGAGCUUCGGCGCAUCAUCGACCGAUCCUGAUGUUCUCGGAUGGAUUUGAGUAAGAGCAUAUUGGGCCGGACCCGAAAGAAGGUGAACUAUGCCUGUGUAGGGUAAAGCCAGAGGAAACUCUGGUGGAGGCUCGCAGCGGUUCUGACGUGCAAAUCGAUCGUCAAACAUGGGCAUGGGGGCGAAAGACUAAUCGAACCUUCUAGUAGCUGGUUUCCGCCGAAGUUYCCCCYYCAGGA